rnacentral:rRNA from 1 species
UGAACGCAGCGACAGGCUAACACAUGCAAGUCGAGGGGCAGCACGGGAGUAGCAAUACAACUGGUGGCGACCGGCGCACGGGUGAGUAACGCGUAUGCAACCUACCUAUCAGAGGGGAAUAACCCGGCGAAAGUCGGACUAAUACCGCAUAAAACAGGGGCACCGCAUGGUGAUAUUUGUUAAAGAGAUUCGCUGAUAGAUGGGCAUGCGUUCCAUUAGGUAGUUGGUGAGGUAACGGCUCACCAAGCCGACGAUGGAUAGGGGAACUGAGAGGUUGGUCCCCCACACUGGUACUGAGACACGGACCAGACUCCUACGGGAGGCAGCAGUGAGGAAUAUUGGUCAAUGGGCGGGAGCCUGAACCAGCCAAGUCCGCGUGAAGGAAGAAGGAUCUAUGGUUCGUAAACUUCUUUUGCAGGGGAAUAAAGUGCAGGACGUGUCCUGUUUUGUAUGUACCCUGAGAAUAAGGAUCGGCUAACUCCGUGCCAGCCGCCGC